rnacentral:rRNA from 1 species
GACGUAGGGGGGCGAGCGUUGUCCGGAUUUAUUGGGCGUAAAGAGCUCGUAGGCGGUCCGUCGCGUCGAAUGUGAAAACCCCGGGGGCUCAACCCCGGGGCUUGCAUUCGAUACGGGCGGACUAGAGUUCGGUAGGGGAGACUGGAAUUCCUGGGUGUAGCGGGUGAAAUGCGCAGAUAUCAGGAGGAACACCCGUGGCGAA